rnacentral:rRNA from 1 species
UACGAAGGGGGCUAGCGUUGUUCGGAAUUACUGGGCGUAAAGGGCGCGUAGGCGGUGUGUCAAGUCAGGCGUGAAAGCCCCGGGCUUAACCUGGGAAUGGCAUUCGGGACUGCAAGGCUGGAGUGCGGCAGAGGAGACUGGAAUUCCUGGUGUAGCAGUGAAAUGCGUAGAUAUCAGGAGGAACACCGAUGGCGAAGGCAGGUCUCUGGGACGGUACUGACGCUGAGACGCGAAAGCGUGGGGAGCAAACAGG